AAUGUUUUAAAGAUGUUGUAAGGAAUUGAAAUCGACCCCAAACCUGAGGGGGUAAAAUGUAAUUUACCUAACAAUUAAUGAUGAAAUGACUAAUUUGCCCUUGAAUUUGACUGAAUUGAUUAUGCAAUCUAACGUCAAGGGGUUAUGUGAGAUCCCAAGAAUUUAUUACCAAAGAAGAGAAUUAUUUGGAAACUAUUUAUCGAAAAGGUCUUUAUAUGAAGAUAGUAGGAAUUAUUAUGAGCUCGUGGCAUUUUUGAAAUACAUUUCGUACUCUCUACGAUUUCAAAAUUUACAAUUGGACUAGGAAAUUGAGGACAAAUGGCAUUCAUUGAGUGGCUAAGUUUGCCAUGUGGUGUUUACUCACCAUGCUUACCUAAGGACACUAAUCCUAUGCAUGUUUGGUGGAAAGUCUGUAGCUUAGGUGUUAUCACUUGGUGCUUUUAAAGUGUUUAGUAAGCACUUUAGGGUGAUGAUUAUUGAAUGCUAUGUUGAAGACUAAUGAAGCCUAUAGUUAACGUGGAAUGGUGUAAUAGCAAGUGGAGUUGAUUUUAAAGAAACUUAUAAGCCAAUGAGAACAACUAGUUUGCCAACUUAUAUAUGGUAUAAAUAGGAUAUCGUCUCCAUUUGUUUUCGAGGGAAAGCUAGCAUGCAAUGCAUGCUCUGCAGCUCAUGUGUAUAUAUAUAUAAGAAACUUAUAAGCCAAUGAGAACAACUAGUUUGCCAACUUAUAUAUGGUAUAAAAAGGAUAUCGUCUCCAUUUGUUUUCGAGGGAAAGCUAGCAUGCAAUGCAUGCUCUGCAGCUCAUGUGUAUAUAUAUAUAUAUAAGUGUCUAUAUAUAUUUAUAACGAUAUGUUCGUACGCAUACUAUAUGAUAUUGAUGUGGUAUAAACUAACACACAAAUUAAACCCUAUUAAGAUAGUUGUAGUACGCGUAAGUAGGUAUCGUUCUAGGCCGGGGAUUAGUUAGGGAUGCUAAUCAACACAAAUUAAACUUAAAAACUGAAACUAGACUCAAACAACUCAAAACAAACUAAACUAACUCAAAUAACACAAAACUAAGUUAAAUUGACUCAAAACAAGAACUAGAGGGUGAUUUGGACGAAAAUUAAACUAAAAGGACUCAAAACACUAAAAAUAACCUAGUUUGGACAGAUUCUAACCUAAAGACACGAAUUAUAAAGGGGAGUUGGUUUUUGACGAAUUUAAGACUAAAACUAAACAGAUUUAAGACUCUAAAUAACUUUGGACGAAAUUGGUGAUUUAAGAGCAAGUCCACUGGAGUGAACUUUGCCCAACACCCAGUCCAAAUAUCAAGCUGAGGGUUAGGGAAUCCACUCCAGCCCGUCGGGCUACCUGGCACCCAGCCCAAGCCAGGCAACAGACCAGCCCAUUUUUUACAGACCCAAGAGUCGGCCUAUUUGGCUGGCGCGUGGACUGGACUCGCGCUUGGCAGCGAGUAGGGACAAGGGGGCAGGCGUUGUUAGCCUGCUGUCAGCCCACUUGUGCUGCAACGACGUGGCUUGCUCAGAGCCGUUGGAUUUCCAACUGCUAGUUUUUC
rnacentral:lncRNA from 1 species